UGGGGAAUUUUGGACAAUGGGGGAAACCCUGAUCCAGCCAUCCCGCGUGUGCGAUGAAGGCCUUCGGGUUGUAAAGCACUUUUGGCAGGAAAGAAACGUCAUGGGUUAAUACCCCGUGAAACUGACGGUACCUGCAGAAUAAGCACCGGCUAACUACGUGCCAGCAGCCGCGGUAAUACGUAGGGUGCAAGCGUUAAUCGGAAUUACUGGGCGUAAUGCGUGCGCAGGCGGUUCGGAAAGAAAGAUGUGAAAUCCCAGUGCUCAACGUUGGAACUGCGUUAUUACCUACCGGGCUAGCGUGUGUCAGAGGGGGGUGGAAUUCCGCGUGUAGCAGUGAAAUACGUCGAUAUGCGGAGGAACACCGAUGGCAAAGGCAGCCUCCUGAGAUAACACUGACGCUCAUGCACGAAAGCGUGGGGAGCAAACAGG
rnacentral:rRNA from 1 species